rnacentral:rRNA from 1 species
AUUGAACGCUGGCGGCAGGCUUAACACAUGCAAGUCGAACGAAGUCGCGAACGGGUGAGUAACGCGUAAUCAACCUGCCCUUCAGAGGGGGACAACAGUUGGAAACGACUGCUAAUACCCCAUACCGAAGGAGGGGUAUGCGUCUGAUUAGCUAGUUGGAGGGGUAACGGCCCACCAAGGCGAUGAUCAGUAGCCGGUCUGGGAGGAUGAACGGCCACAUUGGGACUGAGACACGGCCCAGACUCCUACGGGAGGCAGCAGUGGGGAAUCUUCCGCAAUGGACGAAAGGCUGACGGAGCAACGCCGCGUGAGUGAUGACGGCCUUCGGGUUGUAAAGCUCUGUUAAUCGGGACGCGGUACCGGAAUAGAAAGCCACGGCUAACUACGUGCCAGCAGCCGCGGUAAUUC